rnacentral:rRNA from 1 species
UACGGAGGGUGCAAGCGUUAUCCGGAAUCACUGGGCGUAAAGGGCGCGUAGGUGGUCUGUUAAGUCUGGCGUUAAAGCCUGGGGCUCAACCCCGGAUCAGCGUUGGAUACUGGCAGGCUAGACGGUUGGAGAGGCGAGUGGAAUUACCAGUGUAGCGGUGAAAUGCGUAGAUACUGGUAGGAACACCCAUUGCGAAGGCAGCUCGCUGGACAACACGUGACGCUGAGGCGCGAAAGUGUGGGGAGCAAACCGGAUUAGAUACCCGGGUAGUCCCU